GACGAACGCUGGCGGCGUGCUUAACACAUGCAAGUCGAACGAAUGGAUUAAGAGCUUGCUCUUAUGAAGUUAGCGGCGGACGGGUGAGUAACACGUGGGUAACCUGCCCAUAAGACUGGGAUAACUCCGGGAAACCGGGGCUAAUACCGGAUAACAUUUUGAACCGCAUGGUUCGAAAUUGAAAGGCGGCUUCGGCUGUCACUUAUGGAUGGACCCGCGUCGCAUUAGCUAGUUGGUGAGGUAACGGCUCACCAAGGCAACGAUGCGUAGCCGACCUGAGAGGGUGAUCGGCCACACUGGGACUGAGACACGGCCCAGACUCCUACGGGAGGCAGCAGUAGGGAAUCUUCCGCAAUGGACGAAAGUCUGACGGAGCAACGCCGCGUGAGUGAUGAAGGCUUUCGGGUCGUAAAACUCUGUUGUUAGGGAAGAACAAGUGCUAGUUGAAUAAGCUGACACCUUGACGGUACCUAACCAGAAAGCCACGGCUAACUACGUGCCAGCCGCCGCGGUAA
rnacentral:rRNA from 1 species